CACCGCCCGUCACACCAUGGGAGUUGGAUUCACCCGAAGGCAGUGCGCUAACCGCAAGGAGGCAGCUGACCACGGUGGGUUCAGCGACUGGGGUGAAGUCGUAACAAGGUACCC
rnacentral:rRNA from 1 species